GUAGGUGGCAAGCGUUGUCCGGAAUUAUUGGGCGUAAAGCGCGCGCAGGCGGUCCUUUAAGUCUGAUGUGAAAGCCCACGGCUCAACCGUGGAGGGUCAUUGGAAACUGGGGGACUUGAGUACAGAAGAGGAAAGCGGAAUUCCAAGUGUAGCGGUGAAAUGCGUAGAGAUUUGGAGGAACACCAGUGGCGGAGGCGGCUUUCUGGUCUGUAACUGACGCUGAGGCGCGAAAGCGUGGGGAGCAAACAGGAUUAGAUACCCUGGUAGUCCACGCCGUAAACGAUGAGUGCUAAGUGUUAGGGGUUUCCCGCCCCCUUAGUGCUGCAGCUAACGCAUUAAGCACUCCGCCUGGGGAGUACGCCGCAAGGCUG
rnacentral:rRNA from 1 species